ensembl:lncRNA
CUGACAGUCACUAUGAACAGACUGCAGGAAUAGAAACAGAGCGUUUCAUUCGGAUGCUCAUCAUUAUUUAAUCCAGCAACCAGUGGGCAUUAAAAUUUCAUUUCGUCAGAACGUGUCUUUCUUUGGGUGCUGUCCCAAAUCCUUCCCGUCUCCCGUUGGUUCGGUGACACUGUGCCCACGCGCAGUUAUUCCCUGGGGCUCAGCAUGCUUGUGGAAGCAGCGACCAUCAGCGGGUACCGCUCUGAACCAUCCAUUUUUCUCCUGGCUUCCCAAAUCGCUGCUCCAAAGCAGUUCCAGGGAGCUGAUACUCGUGUUUUUAAACCAUUAUGUUUCCUCCCAUUUGUAAGCAUCUCUGAGCCAGAAAUCAUUCAGCGGCUGCUGCUGCUGCAUCCUUCAGGGACAAAAUGUUCUAAAGAGCUAAUGUUGCUCUUUCAUUAAGAAACCUAUUCAGAGCCACAGAGAGCGAUUUUGACAGUGCAACUGGUAGUUGCUCUAGGGUAGGAGCUUGACAGGAGACCUAUUUUCAGCUAAAUGAAUGUAUACUGUUUAUUUAAAGAAACAGUCAGCUGCCGGUUUGGGUAUGCCUGAGAACAUCCCUGUGUGUCUCCUGCACUCUGCAUCCCCAGGCUGCACUUCUUAUGCCUUGAGAUGGCAACAAAACGGCUGACAACAUGGCUACAGGACUGGCAGAACAGUCAAAGAAAGAAUCAUAAAAACUUAUGAAAACCUGGAAGAGAUGUCAGAAAAUUAGCACACCUGGACACGGAUCGGAGUUUAGAAGGAACUUCCCAGUCUGUGACAGAUAUGUCCUCACCUGUGAAUGCAAUCGGCUCUUUAAGAACUGCUGUGGAUCAACGAGGUGCUGAAGGACCUACUUUUGUUCAGAAGAACCACUCACACACAAUCAACUACGUGCUUCGUGCCAUCCAGACAGGACUGAAUAAACUUAACAGGUUGAAGAGUUAUUUGUCUGCGCCUUAUUGCAACCAGAUGGAGUGGUUAGAAGAAAAAUAUUCUGUGUACUUUAGGCUUUUAUGGUUCCCAAUACGGACAAAAUUCCCCUGGCUGACAACGGUGCUGAGGAGGACCUAUACUUUCAAACAGCUGCAACUCUGUUUUUACAGGAAGAACAUGAGCUGUGAAUGACCUCCCUGCAAUUAUCUGUGCUGAUUUGGAUACAGAGAGUAAAGAUGGAAUCAUAAAGUAACUUGCUGAACACAGAUACAGAAACGGCCCUCUGCUGAUGGUUCUACUUUAAAAGCUGAAAUCCAGCAUCGUAUUCUCCUGUGUGGUGGUGUGUAAACAACACUUUCGGAUGGCAGGGGGAAGUUCUUUGGAUAUCAGGGGUUAGUUUGUCACAGAGAGCAGUGAGGUGCUGGCACAGGCUGUCCAGAGAGGCUGUGG